GACGAACGCUGGCGGCGUGCUUAACACAUGCAAGUGGUGCGACGAACCAGGCCUCGGCCUGGGGCGAAGCCGCGAACGGGUGAGUAACACGUGGGCAAUCUGCCCCUUUGAUCGGGACAACCCGGGGAAACCCGGGCUAAUACCGAAUGAGGUGGCGACUCAUGAGAGUCGUCACGAAAGGAAGCUUCGGCCGCUGCGAAGGGAUGAGCCCGCGGCCCAUUAGCUUGUUGGUGGGGUAAUGGCCUACCAAGGCAACGAUGGGUAGCUGGUCUGAGAGGACGAUCAGCCACACUGGGACUGAGACACGGCCCAGACUCCUACGGGAGGCUGCAGUGGGGAAUCUUGCGCAAUGAGCGACAGCUUGACGCAGCAACGCCGCGUGAGGGAAGAAGGCUUUCGGGUCGUAAACCUCUUUCAGUUAGGACGAAGCUUUAUUGGUUAAUAACCAAUUGGAGUGACGGUACUUUCAGAAGAAGCCCCGGCUAACUACGUGCCAGCCGCCGCUGUAA
rnacentral:rRNA from 1 species